GCUUUUAUGGAGGCGAGACCUUCAAAAAUAUGUACAGCGAGGUUGAAUUGAAUUUCAAAAUAGUAGUGUUUUAGUCAUGAGUAGGAGAUUGUUUGCAAGAGGAAUCACAAGCUUCUUUCCUUAUACAGGCGCUUGUAUUUUUAGACAUGCAUCUUAUGCAACUGAUUUUACUUAAGCGGGUAAGUGGGAAGUUAAUAUAAUUUAAAUACAACCUUGCAGUAAUGACAUUGACCGGAUUAUUUUUAUACUCUGCACACUGCUUGUGUUGUAAGGAUAUAUUAAAUUUAUGCGGAUGUACAUAAAAAGCUUUAAUUAGACCGAUCGAUCGAUAAUUACUUUCAGAAUUGAUUGAUGCAAUUGUGUCCGUCCGUUCGUCCGUCUUGCAUUCACAAAAUUUUAAUAAAAUUACUUUCAUUCCCUUCGGUUCGGUGAGUUAGCAAAAAUUUUACUCAUUUUAUAUUUAAACUAACUGUUACAUAUCACUCUUGUCAUAAUUUCAUUUGAGUGAGAUUACAACAAUUUUAAAGUCUUUGAAAAGGUAUGACUGCUUCGAUUGCGUCUCUUGCGUUUUCUACCUUGAACUGCACUCCAGUCGUCACGUUGUCUCAUUGCAUUACAAAUGUCAAGAAUAAAACGACCAAAGCCAUAAUUUUGUUCACCGCACGGCAUUCGCAACUACUUACUGAACCUAUUGAAAUCUCAUCAUUUUUAGUUUGCAAUGCGAGCCGCCGCUAAUGAAAAUGAAAAUGUGUGCUAUUAAGUUUUUGGUGGAGAGUGAAGUAGUAUUAGUUGUUCUCUUUAGAAUUCGGUUCGGUAGACGGAAUUAAUUAGUGUGAGGCCUAACGAUUUCGUGAUUUCAUUAUUUGCGACAAAACGUUUAAAGCAGCACUUAAAGCUCUUUUCGUUUUCCUGUUUUGCAAUAUCGUCACCCAAGCGAAAGUCUACAUUACGCGCUAUAUAGAUGCGUCAUAAAAAGCUCGUUAUUUAUGUACACUAUAAUGAGGACAGAUAUUUAAAAUGGAUACUUGCGCGGAUUAUCUCUUGUGUAAGAGAUGAUGAGGUGCUAUAUGAACCCCAAGAAGAAAGGCCUAUCUAAUACAACUGUCAUUCUUGGCGUCUACUCCUCGAUUGUUGUGCGCUUUACACUUUCCGUGAUUUUUAGUCAACGGCAGCGAUCACGAAACUUUGUGUAGUCUAUUAAAAUCAUUAUAGCAAUCUUUCAAAUCAAUCUUUCUGGUCAAAUGUACCGCUUCCUUAAGUUGGACUCGUUUUUUGAUUCUUCGCUUUUUUGCUAUUCUUUGGCGUAGAAAAAGAG